AUGAACGCUGGCGGCGUGCCUAAUACAUGCAAGUCGAGCGAACAGACGAGGAGCUUGCUCCUCUGACGUUAGCGGCGGACGGGUGAGUAACACGUGGAUAACCUACCUAUAAGACUGGGAUAACUUCGGGAAACCGGAGCUAAUACCGGAUAAUAUAUUGAACCGCAUGGUUCAAUAGUGAAAGACGGUUUUGCUGUCACUUAUAGAUGGAUCGGCGCCGCAUUAGCUAGUUGGUAAGGUAACGGCUUACCAAGGCAACGAUGCGUAGCCGACCUGAGAGGGUGAUCGGCCACACGGGAACUGAGACACGGUCCAGACUCCUACGGGAGGCAGCAGUAGGGAAUCUUCCGCAAUGGGCGAAAGCUUGACGGAGCAACGCCGCGUGAGUGAUGAAGGUCUUCGGAUCGUAAAACUCUGUUAUUAGGGAAGAACAAAUGUGUAAGUAACUAUGCACGUCUUGACGGUACCUAAUCAGAAAGCCACGGCUAACUACGUG
rnacentral:rRNA from 1 species